rnacentral:rRNA from 1 species
UACGUAGGGACCAAGCGUUGUUCGGAUUUACUGGGCGUAAAGGGCGCGUAGGCGGCGUGGUAAGUCACUUGUGAAAUCUCUGAGCUUAACUCAGAACGGCCAAGUGAUACUGCUGUGCUAGAGUGCAGAAGGGGCAAUCGGAAUUCUUGGUGUAGCGGUGAAAUGCGUAGAUAUCGAGAGGAACACCUGCGGCGAAGGCGGGUUGCUGGGCUGAUACUGACGCUGAGGCGCGAAAGCGUGGGGAGCGAACAGG